rnacentral:rRNA from 1 species
GACGAACGCUGGCGGCGUGCUUAACACAUGCAAGUCGAACGGAAAGGCCCUGCUUUUGUGGUGUGCUCGAGUGGCGAACGGGUGAGUAACAUGUGAGUAACCUGCUCUUGACUUUGGGAUAACUUCAGGAAAGUGUGUCUAAUACCGGAUAGGAGCUCCUGCUGCAUGGUGGGGGUUGGAAAGUUUCGUCGGUUGGGGAUGGACUCGCGGCUUAUCCGCUUGUUGGGGGGGUAGUGGCUUACAAAGGCUUUGACGGCUAGCCGGCCUGAGAGGGUGACCGCCCACAUGGGGACUGAGAUAGGGCACAGACCCCUACGGGGGGCAGGAGGGGGAAAUUUUGCACAAGGGGCGGAAGCCUGAUGCAGAAACGCCGCGUGCGAGAACAGGGCCUUCGGGUUGUACACCGCUUUCGACUGUGAAGACGCGUGGGUAAGGGAAAUGGAUAAGGAAGAACGGCCUACUUACGU